GUGCUCACUUCGGCAGCACAUAUACUAAAAUUAGAAUGAUACAGAGAAGAUUAUUAGCAUGGGCCCCUGUGCAAGGAUGACAUGCAAAUUCAUGAAGUGUCCCAUAUUUUU